GACGAACGCUGGCGGCGUGCUUAACACAUGCAAGUCGAACGAUGAAGUUCCUUCGGGGAUGGAUUAGUGGCGAACGGGUGAGGAACACGUGAAGAAUCUGCCCUCCACUUUGGGGUAACUCCGGGAAACCGGGGCUAAUACCGAAUAUUGAAACAUAAGUGGCAUCACUGAGUUUUGAAAGAAUUUCGGUGGAGGAUGACUUCGCGGCCUAUCAGCUUGUUGGUGAGGUAAUGGCUCACCAAGGCGACGACGGGUAGCCGGCCUGAGAGGGCGACCGGCCACACUGGGACUGAGACACGGCCCAGACUCCUACGGGAGGCAGCAGUGGGGAAUAUUGGGCAAUGGACGAAAGUCUGACCCAGCGACGCCGCGUGCGGGAUGAAGGCCUUCGGGUUGUAAACCGCUUUCAGCAGGGAAGAAGCGAAAGUGACGGUACCUGCAAAAGAAGCACCGGCUAACUAUGUGCCAGCAGCCGCGGUAAUACAUAGGGUGCAAGCGUUGUCCGGAAUUAUUGGGCGUAAAGAGCUCGUAGGUCGUUAAUUACGUCGGGUGUGAAAAUCUGGGGCUCAACCCCAGACCUGCACUCGAUACGGGUUAGCUAGAGUUUGGUAGGGGAGACUGGAAUUCCUGGUGUAGCGGUGGAAUGCGCAGAUAUCAGGAGGAACACCAAUGGCGAAGGCAGGUCUCUGGGCCAAUACUGACACUGAGGAGCGAAAGCGCGGGGAGCGAACAGGAUUAGAUACCCUGGUAGUCCGCGCCGUAAACGGUGGGCGCUAGUUGUGGGAACCUUCCACGGUUUCUGCGACGCAGCU
rnacentral:rRNA from 1 species